UACGUAGGGGGCAAGCGUUGUCCGGAAUCAUUGGGCGUAAAGAGCGUGUAGGCGGCCCGAUAAGUCCGCUGUGAAAGUCCAGGGCUCAACCCUGGAAUGCCGGUGGAUACUGUCGGGCUCGAAUCCGGAAGAGGUGAGUGGAAUUCCUGGUGUAGCGGUGAAAUGCGCAGAUAUCAAGAGGAACACCUGCGGCGAAGGCGGGUUGCUGGGCCGACACUGACGCUGAGGCGCGAAAGCCAGGGGAGCGAACGGG
rnacentral:rRNA from 1 species